rnacentral:rRNA from 1 species
UACGUAGGGUCCGAGCGUUGUCCGGAAUUACUGGGCGUAAAGAGCUCGUAGGUGGUUUGUCGCGUUGUUCGUGAAAACUCACAGCUUAACUGUGGGCGUGCGGGCGAUACGGGCAGACUUGAGUACUGCAGGGGAGACUGGAAUUCCUGGUGUAGCGGUGGAAUGCGCAGAUAUCAGGAGGAACACCGGUGGCGAAGGCGGUUCUCUGGACGGUGACUGACGCUGAGACGCGAAAGCGUGGGGAGCAAACAGG